rnacentral:rRNA from 1 species
GACGAACGCUGGCGGCGUGCCUAAUACAUGCAAGUCGAACGAGUGGCGGACGGGUGAGUAAUGCUUGGGAAUCUGGCUUAUGGCGGGGGAUAACGACGGGAAACUGUCGCUAAUACCGCGUACCAUAGGAUGAGCCCAAGUGGGAUUAGGUAGUUGGUGGGGUAAUGGCCUACCAAGCCGACGAUCUCUACCUGGUCUGAGAGGAUGACCAGCCACACCGGGACGGAGACCCGGCCCGGACUCCGUCGGGAGGCAGCAGUGGGGAAUAGUGCGCAAUGGGGGCAACCUGACGCAGCCAUGCCGCGUGAAUGAAGAAGGCCUUCGGGUUGUAAAGUUCUUUCGGUGACGAGGCGUUAAUCACAGAAGAAGCACCGGCUAACUCCGUGCCAGCAGCCGCGGUAAUAC